rnacentral:ncRNA from 1 species
UCAUAAUUAUAUACAGCACCCUGCAAUAUCUCUGCAAAUCCUGUGGUGAAUGUAAUCUAGUACCUAUGUGAUAACACCACUUGCGUUUCACAUUCACACAGAUAAAACAUGAGCACACCACAUCCUAUUAGCAAUCACAAAACCGCAGCCAGUUAUUAAAAAAUGAUAUUAGAAAAGGAAAAUUGGCCGGAACGUUUACUUUGAAAAAUUAGAGUGUUUAAAGCAGGCCUUCGAUCCUGGAUAAUGGUGCAUGGAAUAAUGGAAUAUGACGUUUGUUCUAUUUUGUUGGUUUUCGGAGAGCGAGGUAAUGGUUAAGAGGGACAGACGGAGGCAUUCGUACUGUGCUGUUAAAGGUGAAAUUCUUGGAUCAGUGCAAGACGAACGACUGCGAAAGCAUUUGCCAAAAAUGUUUUCUUUAAUCAAGA